UCAAAAAAAAAAAAAAAAAAGAAGUUAGGGUGCCAUUGAUUGGUCUGUUUUGUUCUAGUGUGAAAAUUGCCUGGCUUCUGGAAAUCAUGAAACAGUAUAGAUUGCAGCCUCCUCUGAAACACAUGCAACUUUCUCUACCCAGAGUUAUUUUGUCUCAAUCCCUUCCACCCCUCCUUCCAUAGCUGCACCACUUCUCUUCCUCUUUCUGUUUUGGGUGUCCUCCUGCAGGUGGUUGUCCACUGAGCUGUGUCUUCCCAGAUGCAAAGUCAGCUUCACCUGGGUCUUUUGAAUAGAAUGCACCCCUCCAGUACUGCAAGCUUCACCUGGCUCCUUCUCGGAGAUCCUAUUUACUGCAGUAUGGUAUCAAUUUAUGACUAUUUUACUUCUUAUUGAGACUCUGUGUGUGAUGUCCAUAGGUAUUCAAGCCCUGGAAUGUUGUUUCUCACCAUUUCCCAUCUUUUGCUUGCUGUGGGUCACUAGGCACAUUCUGCACUCUUAGUCUUCUUCCUUUGUCAUACCUCUUGCCUUCCAUGGCAGCUCAUUUCAAGGGCUUUAUGAAAAUAGCUUUCUUUUCUCAUCUCUAGUGGACACUUGAUGCUUGUGUUCCCUCUAUCCUGUGGAAAGGACCCAUUAUUUUGAUAUUGCAAACCUUAGCCCAGUAAGUAAAUUUGUUUUUUCUCUCCAGUCAACAGCCCAGUAUUUCCUAGCUGGUAAGAUCCAGCUUUAUCUCACACAUUUUUAUAGUGUGUUUCUUAAAUUAUAUUUCUCAGAAUAUAGUUCCUUAAGGUGUUCUGUAGAAAUAUGAUUCCACAGACAACGUAAUUUGAGAAAUGCUGCAGAUCUUCCCAGAGAGUCACCAUGCAUAUUAGUAAGUACAUCAUAGGUCCCAACAAACCCUGUAUAAAGACAACUUUUUAACUUAUUUAACUACAAUGCCCUCCACCUCUGCUUCCCUCUUGCCUCCUCCCAACAAGGUCUAUUCAACAGCCUAUUAAACUCACCCAGUAGAAUUUACAAUUCCCUGAACCCAUUUGGGCUUUGCUGCUUCUAAGCCUUUGCUUUUGGGGUUUCUUACUUGAAACAUCCUCCCAGGCUAUCUUUGUCUAUCAGAAUGACCAGCCCUGCCCCCUGAGCCUAGCUCAGAUGGUGACGGUGUGAUACUUUCCUUUAAAAUAUUUCCAUAUUAAAAAGUGCAGCAGGGAUGUGGGCAUAACUGAACUCCAGUCCACAAGAGGUAAGCGCUUAGCAUUUGAAAUAUCCUAAUCAGCAAUCAACCUUCCAGAGGUAGUUAUUCAGCAUUCUAAGUAUGCUUGAAAUCUAUACCAGAGGAUUUGUAAAUUAGCACAAAGUAUGUGAGAAAUGAAUUUUCACUGGUGUGAGGAGUGAUGUUCAAGAUCAGUGACUGAUUACAAAGAUUGUCUAGGCCACACCCCCUGCAUGAAGGAGAUAUAAGAAUCAGCAGCCCCAUUCCCUGGGUUCAGUACUGUGCUCUAGGCCAACUGCCUGAGGGUCUCAAGGACCCUGCUUCAGGGAAGACCUCUAGUGCCUGAGUCCUCUAUAAUCCUGGAAUAUUGCAGCCUUCUCAGAUGUUGGGUGUGGGCUGAGGUGUCAGAGGGCCAAGAUGGGGACUUCCCUGAGCUACAAAAACUGCUCGCAUGACUAUGCAGGCUUGCUAAUAAAUUUCAUGCAAGACCUGCUUAAACUGUGUCUUACCUCCUGGUAAGGAGGUAGUGGAGAGGGGCUGCAUCACCCUCAGCUAAUCUAGAGGUUACAGAUAGUUACUACAAGAACCCGAGGAGCAGAUGUGGCCGGUCAGCAGACAGGUCAGUCCCCCUUGGGCCAUGACUGCUGGCCCAGGCCCCUCUCUGGUCAUUUCUGUUCUCAAGGUGAUGCUGACCAGGGUGAGAAGUCAUCAGUCACCUCAGGGCUCAGCCAGCUCCACUGGCUUCCAUCUCCCUGGCGUGUCUUCUGUCCCAGAAUCAAAGUGGCUGCAUUAGGGAACUGUAAGCCACUAAGGUACUUGGUUAAGGGACAUCCACAUCUCUCACCCUGUGACCACAACAAAGAGGGACUCUUGCCAUGCUGGUUUCCUGCCUGUGCCCUGCCCUCCUCAUCCUCCUAAACUCUCCUACGUCUACCCACACACAUUAUUGGGGUUUCUGCAGGAUCCAUGCCUAUACCAGCAAAUGUGACUCUGUCAUUCCUCCAGAACCUGAUUUUCCAGAUUAGCCCAAUGUGGUCAGUCCUGUCUCUGCCUCUGAGUCCACAUCUGCAGAAUGGGAAUAAAGCAGUAUCUCCUCAUGGGCCUGCAUAUCCAAACUAGUUUGUAUAUCUAAAGUCUAGAACACUGCCUGGCAUCUUGUAAGCACUUGGUAAGUAUUCAUUCUUCCUUUUAUCUUACUUUCUUCUUAAAAAAUUAUUAUUAUAGCUUUGUCUCAACAGGUAGGUUCAUUGCACUGGUGUGAAAUGAACAAAUUCAGGAGGUUGUAAUAGCCUUCUAUUAACCAAGAUAGAUAUCACAAAGGGAUAGAUAUCACAAAGACCAUGCACUAAUGUUCACUUCUUUACUCAUUGGGACCCUUACUUGGAACUUAUUUCCUCCUGGUUUACAAAGAGUUCUAAUGAGCUUGAUUUGCUUCCUUACUUCACAGAAGAUGAGAAAAAGCAAAUUAGAAGGAAUUUGAGGCAGGCAUACCCAAACCAUCAAGGAGUGACUGCUGAUGGUGAAGAAAGAGUCAUAGAAGUAUAAAGACAAGUCAAAAGAACCUCAAAUUCUGGGAUCAUUUAGGUAGGAAAAAAUAGUCCCAUGCCUCAGUACUUCUCAAACCAUGUCAUUGUUCUAAAGCCUAGUGUAAUGGUUGAUGUUUAUAGUGAUGGUCUUGAGUUAUUGAGAGAUGAUUAACUGAUUUAUAGCAUGCUUUGUUUAAUGAGGCAGGAAAGUAUGUGAUAUGCUUUAGAACUUCCAACAAAGUGGUGAAUGUUAGAGUUUUGAAGCUAAGAGUGAUCAAUCAUGCUCUUGUUGUCUGUUAAAGCAAUUUAUAUAACAUACCCAGUUCUCACUUCAUACCGGAUAAAUGAAGCAUCACUUUCCAUGGUUAGUUAUAGCAGUUAGUAAUUGCAAAAUACCCCCUAAUCCAUGAGGUAUAAGCUUGCUUACUCUAUUAGAAAAACAACUCCCAAAUCUGACUCUUGCUAAAUCCUAAAGAGUUUUAUAGAUACACGUGAGAACAGAGCAUGUAGAAUAAUCGAUCUGAGAAACAGACGGGUACUUGUAAAUAAAGCAGCCCCUUUUCUAAGUUCUAUUUUUAACUUCUUUUGAUCUUGGUCUAGAAGACCUUAUCCACUGUUAGGUUUUGCUAAGUUUGAAGCAGAUAUAUUUUAGUAUGAGGGAAAGGGCAUGGGUAUUUCACGGUGUUGCUGUGCUCAAGUUUCCCUUGGCUGUUAAGAGCUGACAGUCUCAAGAGUGCAAUGGCCCAGAGCAGGUGGCUUUGCCCCACUGGUGACUGGGAUGUGAUCCAGUCUGUACUCUGACUUGUCUUGUGCAGAGACACAUAAAUUCAUCAACAGGUAAGGAAUUUGAGGGUCUGUAACAAAUGAUAGUGCAAGAGACAGAGCCUUAAAUUAAGGAGAAGAGGGUGUAGGAGGAUAGUAAUUACAGCCUGACAUUACUGCCAUAGCCUCUGCCACCUACUGAGCUCUCACUAUGUACCAGGCCCUGUGCACACAUCAAUGCUUUGAUGCAGAUACCAUCAACCCUACAAGGCAGAUGCUUUAUAUAAUGAGGAAACUGAGGCUCAGAGAUGUUAAGUGACUUAUGUAAAGUCACACAGCUAAGUACAGAGGAGAUCAAGUUGACAUCCAGAUCUGUCUGCCUCUCCGGGCCAUGGUUUGAACUACUGGAUGGGCGCUGGGAAAACAUCUUUUCUCUGGGACCAGCUCAGCCUUGGUCUUUGCGCAGAGGAAAGAGGCAGCAGAGGGCUCCCAGGAGUAUUCGUGUACUGCUCUGAGGGAGAAAUGCCAGGGACAAAGGUUUGGAUCCAUUUGGAAGGGACCUUGAGGAAACAUUGGUUAUAUUACUUAUCCUAGAGGUGGGUCCUCUGCUCUAGGGCCCAAUAAAACUAGUAAGCAGUGGGAGCUGCUCCACCUUGCAAGAGAAACUCUUUACACUCCUGCUCCUAUGGCCAGUGUGUCUGUCCUCAAAAGCUUUUCCAGGGUCACUUUUAACUGGGCAGUUUGCUGAUCUCCUUAGAUAUUCAGUUCAAGACUGAGGUGGUUUUCAUUUGGGAUAUCUCUCAGAGGGCAGCUGUGCUGUCAUUUCUCCCAGGGAACAAGAAGCAGGAUGUAGAGGGGAGGAGGACCCAUGGCCCAGCUUCCGUCCGGGGCAGGCCUUCCCUGGCAGAGUGCCUGCGUUCGUUCCUCCGUACAGCUCACCUGGCUGCCACUCUCCUGCUCCGGCGAACAUGGCAGCCUCUGUCCCAUGUCUCAGUCUGGUCUCAGUUCCUCCUGGAUCUUCUUGUUCUUUAGGUUAGUGGCAGUCAGACAGAAAGAUAAGAGGUCAUGAGCUCAAAGGGGAAGAGUCAUGAGGGCAGACUCUGGCUUGGUCCACAUGCUUUGGCAAGGCAUCCUGAACCACAGGCAAGUCUGGGCUGCAGCAGCAAAUAAGGGCUUACGUUUCUCACGGAGUCAAAGAAAAAGGAGGUGAUGGGGACAGGGGUGGCAGAAAUAACAGGUAUCAUGAUAAAACAAGAGCACUGCAGAGAGAAUGGGAACAUGCCCUGGAGUCAGACAGACAUGGGGAGAACCCCGCCUGCCACUGGCUGUGUGACCAUGGACAUGGUCUUAGUUUUUGAUGGACAUUUGACAGAUAUAAGCAAAGGAAUCCUGGCAAAGAACAGUGGAGGUGUAUUAUAGACCAGGUGAAAGGGGCCAGAUUUUUGAGGGUCUUAAGUGUCAAGCAGAGGUGUUAGGAUUUUGUCUUUAAUACACUAAGGAUCCAUUGAAGGUUAGUGAGCAGGGAUGUUGCCUGCUUAAAGUAGUGCUUGGGUGAGAUUAGCCUAGCAAUGUUACAUUCCAUUUACAUUCAUGCCUGCAUCUGGAAAAAUAAUGCAAAAAUGCUGCCCUAUCUAUUGGUAGCCUGGGAUAACUAACAGUGGUCUUCAGUGCUGUCUACCAAAUAUUUCUAAUUUUCUGCCUUCUGGGAACAUAGCAUUGCAUUUUCCUGUCUGCUUCAAAGUUAGGUGUGACUAUGUGAUCUACCUAAACCAAGGCAGGGAUUGGCAAGCUUUUUCUUAAAGGACUAGAUAGACAAUAUUUUCAGCUUAUGGGCCAUAUAGUCUCUCUUGCAACUACGCAACUUUGCUGUUGAAGUACGGAAGCAGUCACACAGUGCAAUGGAGCACGCAUAGCUGUGUGGCAGUAAAACUUCAUGUAGAAAAACAGGCAGCUGUACAACGCGUGUGAGCAGAAGUGACACUUUUGGACAGAAGCUCUAAGAGCUGGUGCCCAGUUCAAUGGCGCUGCUGUAAUCCUGGAGGCACAUGCGAAAGUUCAAAGCCUCUGUCAGGCUGGGACCCCAAGUGACUACAUGAGCCAAGUCCCUGUCAAUACAAUGCAUGUUGCACGUGUAGCAUAGUUAAGAAAUAAACCUGGCAGUGUUAAGGCAGUACGAUUUUGAUGCUGUUUCUUACUGCAGCAUAACCUCUCUCUGCGGAAUGAUACAGUAUCAUCUUUGUAUGCAAAGCAUCACAUCACCAUUCUUUCAGUCCUCGUCAUUACAGCUGACAUUUACUAAACACUUACUAUGUGCCAAAUACUAAUGGUGGGGGGGACUUUACCAACAUCAUUUCAAUAAUUCCUUCUCACAACCAUAUGACGUGAGUGCUGUGAUUAUACCCAUUUUUGAAGAAAAAGAAAAUGGAAUUUUUGAGAGGUGAAUUAACUUGCUUACAAUCUCACAAUUGACAUGAUCCACAGUGGCCCUGUCACAGGGCAAGAAUGAAGAAUCAUGCUUCCAGAAAAGCGCUGCUCUGAGCAGUGGAGGUGAGAGGAAAUAGCCCGGAGGGAUGAAUUGGAUUGGCAGUUCUGGCCACACAGUAAGAGGACCACGUGGAGAUUGGCAGAUCCUUAAGAACUGCUCCCAGUCAUGUACCCAUGUAUUUCCAUCAGUCAUCCAGAGCCAGUUGUCAUCUUUCCAUUCUCAGCCAUGUUCAUGUCUUUCUUUGAAAGGAGAAAAUAAUUUACAUUCUGGAACUGUCUUAAGAAAUUGUGCUACUCUCCUUCCUGGCCUGAAUAAGCUGUGACUGUCAUCUCUGAUGGGUUUAAAGACAAUUUACCAAUCUUGUAUUGCAACAGCCUUCCUCUAUUGGACACUGUAAUAAGAAGUCACAUAAUGAGUUCUUAUAAUUCUCAAGAGCUACCAUGGAAGAUACUAUCCAUUAUGCUAUUCAAUAUUUCUUACUUAAAGUCUCAUUUAAUUAAGUUCUCUAUUUAGUAUCAUGGAAUUUUUUCAAUAAAAUUAUACCUUUCCCUAAUCAAAAAUGAGCAUUACAUAAGCAAUUACAUUUCCCUUUUUACCUUGCCCGUUGGAAAUAAGGAUUUGCUUGAUACUUGAAAAUAUAACUGUUCUGACUGAGGAUCAUGGUGGAAAAUCUUUAGUCAUUCUCCCCCUGCUUCUCCUUCACCCCUGUGGGUUCAGAUAUCUGUUUCUGACUUUUAAGUUUUAAAUGUAUAACAUUUUAUUGUAGGUCACUGAAAAUCCUUCUUGGAAGUAGAUAAGAUGUCAAUUAUAAUUUAUAACUUCAGUAGGCCAUGUGAUAGCAAGUCAGUGAGUAGCGUGGAGUUAACAUUCCGAGCUUCUACUUCCCUCUUCCUGGUUGAAAGUUCUUGUUGUUUAUCAUCUAAGAGUGUCAUCCCUCAGUGUGGGAAACCUUUAAGAUACAGAUCCACUUCCCUUUUUUACAAUGACAACUCAAAGUAUUAUCCUUGUUCUAAACUUACUUCAUGCAUAGACCAAUGAUCCAAAAAAGAGAUUUUGGGGGCCAUCAGAUUUGAUGAAAUUAGUCACAGCAGCAGAUGCUUUUUAUCAAGCACUUGCUUGCCAGACAUUAUACUGCCCAUUUUGCAUGCUGUAUUAUGUUUACCCUCCAACCUGUGAGAUAUGUCUUCUUAUUGGGCUGGGGAAACUGCGGCUCAUGUAAGUAAAGUGACUUGUCAGGACACUCAGUCAAGGAGAGGCUCAUGCAGUCAAGAAGAUUUAAACACAGGUGUUUGUGACGAGAACUGCACUCCUACUUUGCCACAAUCGAUUCUUGAUGAUGAUGAUGAUGUCAGGUACUGUUCUUCUACAUGCUAGGUACUAUUCUAAGUGCAAUGCUAUGUUCCCAGAAGGCAGAAAAUUAGAAAUAUUUGUACUAUUCUAAGUGAUUGAUAUUGUAUUAAUAUCCCUAUGACAGGUUCUGCUACCACCAUUUUACCAUGGGGAAACCAAGGCACAGAGAGGUUAAGUAACUUGCCAUAGGUCACAUAGGUAGUAAAUGGUGGAGGGAGGAUUUGAAUCUAGACAGUUUGGCUCUAAGGCCCACUCGUUUGCUAUGCUGCACUCUCUUUGGUCUUAUCGGUCUAUAGAUAUGGUGGAUAUAUCCGACAGAAAAAUUAAGAUCUUGGAUCAUGAAGCCUAGAUCCUAGUUCCCAUUCUGCCAAAUACUAUGUGCCAAGUAGUACAGAUAGGACUUUACCAACAUCACUCCAAUAAUUCCUUCUCACAACCAUAUGACAUGGGUACUAUUAUUAUACCCAUUUUUGCAGAAAAAUAAAAUGGAAUUUUGCAAGAGGUGAAUUAACUUGUCUACAAUCUCAUCACCUCCCUUCUGUACCAACCAGGGUCAUGGUUAGAAGACCAGAACCACACCAUUUAUUUUAGCAGAGUUUAAGGAGGGAGUCGAUUAAACAGGCAUGGGAGGCCUACCCUGAGGUAACAUAGAGAUAUAACCACAGGAAGCAGCCUCCACCCCCAAGGCCAAGGGAACAGGGGACAGAAGCUUGGAGAAGUGGGGCUCAUAGAACCACAGCUCAGCCUUCAGAGGAGGGACCAUCACUUGGCUGGUGUUGGUGUCUUAGGUCCUUGGAGGAGGGCCUCCCAGAGCAGAGGCUCAGACCUUGGAGAACAGCGUACUGCCAGAGGCUGCUGGUACCUCUGAGGGGUAUGGUGCAGCUGGUUCUGGGAGUGUGGGAAAAUGGGAAACCAGAACCAAGUUCAAUGCCAAGGUGAAGAACCACCACUGGGUGAGCUACAGGAGCAACCCUCCUCCUGCCUUGCAUCCUCCCUCCAGUGCCCCCUGUUGGCAGAAACUAACACAGAGCCAGUCGUUAAGGAGCACUGUGAUUUGCACGUUUUCUGAUUUCUAGCCCAAUAUAACUGAACAGAGACUAGAAGGGGUUGUUCAGGGCUGAGAGACAAGAGCUUCAUAAAUGGUAAUCGUUCUUCUGCUGCCAUUUCUUUAUUGAUAAAACAAAGACUGAACAGAUGGUGUGCAGGGAGCAAAUGAUACUCCCGUUUACCAACUCUCCUGGGCUUCUAUCACAGUAAAAAGAUGUAGCUUAUCAAGUUCUCCUCUCCUCCUCUCUUUCCACUUGACAGUGAGCAUCUUGAGGCCUAAUAUGUUAUUUCUCCCAGUACUUGUCUAGUGCAAAGGACAGUUCUUGGUGAGGGCUGCUAUUCUAUGCUUGAACUAUAUAACUACCAGAUUUGGACAUGUACUUAAGUCACCAACUAUUGAAUGAUCAUAGAGGGUGUGCCCAGCCCUGGACCAGGGACUGCGGAGAAGAAGGACAUGCUUGAGGCAUGGACUGGCUGUGAAUGAACUGACAGUCUUCUUAUAUGAGUGACAUGAACCCAACAAGCAAAGAGCAGGUUCUUGCUUAUGUGACAAAAUGUCUCAAAUUUGGGUAGGUUCAGGUAGAGUUUGAGUUUAGGAAAGGGAGCACGAUCACAUGACUUAGAGUAAUUGUUUCUUACCAACAUCCAAUAUACUCACUUGGAGACACCAUUUCUCCAAAAGCAUGUGUGUUUAGAAAAGCUAUUUUAUUCUGCCAUCUCUAGAGGCUUCCAUGCACAUCCAAUAACGUGCAACUUCUCACAUUUUAAAAAAUUAAGGUGGAGAUAUCAAGAGAACAUUCAGAAGUUACUUGUUCAUGGCUGCAGAAAAUCUGCAACAGAGAAAUCACGUUAGGAGCAGCCCUGGGGGCCUCCACCAAAUGAGUGAGCACAGCUGACCUUUUGCUAGAAGGUGUCACUGAGCUCCUUAUCUAGGCCCAGACCAGAAUGUAACCUUGCAGAUAUGAUCCCAUGGGAGAGCUGCCCAUCUCUCUGACAGUGGGAACAUUGUUCCCUAGCCUCAAGGAAGGCUUCAGGGAGUCAUUUAAUGACGCAGCAUUUGAUCUUCAGGGUUUGCAGAGAAAGAUAAAGUGGCCCAGAGGAAAUGAAAACAUUCCUCUGGAGUCACCUGCCUACGUCAGCAAGAUACAGGAACAUUGGAUUAAACAACUGAGAAGUACUCUGAUGCUUGCUGGAUUCUUUGAGAUGAUCACACCAUUGACAUCACUUUUCCUGAUCAGAAUACUAACUCUUUAUGCAGGAAUGGGGCUGUGUUCUUUACACAGAGCCCUCAGGCACACUCCAUAAACUUUAAAGAUCGAAGUAUGAGUUACAUAAAGCAAACCCCAGGAACCUGAAAUGCAUAGCUUGACAGAGUUUUCAUAUGUUUACACUAUGUGACCAGAUAAGGUCAUACACUAUUUCUAGUACCCUAGAAGACUUCUUUAGGCUCCCUCCUAGGAAGCUCUCUUCACCCUCCCAUUCUGACCUUAGAUUACUUUUGCCUGAUCUUGAAUUUUAUAUUAUAUGGAUUUUAGAAGAGAAUACUCAUUUAUGUCUGGAUCUUUUGCUGAAUAUUGUACAAUUUCAUUUUUACUAAUGGAGAAACUGCAUACAAGUUCAGAGAAGUGUUAUGACCUGAACAAGGUUUUACACCUGGAGUCCUACAAUAUUUUCCAUUUCACAGCUCUUUUGCUAUAAUCCAUAUAUCCAGCCAUCCAUACAUCCAUUCAUCUAAACCUAUCAUAAGCAAUGGCUUUGUGUCAGGGAUGAUUCUAGGUCUUGGACAUAUAGAUAUGAGUAUGUCACCCCUACCCUCAGGGAGCUCCCAGUAUAGUGGGAGAGAAAUAUCUCAGGUGCAUAAUCAAACAGGACUUGUGAGGGCAUAGAACAAAAGGCUGUAUACUUAUGUGCAUGCUGAGAGGAGGAAUCUGUGACUGGAGGGCUCAGCAUGGAAGGGAUGACAUUAGAGCAGAAUUGCAUUCUUGGACAUUUUUCUUGUUUUUUCUUGCCAACAGGGAUGCAAAUUCUAAGAAGACAGGAUUGGGGUCAUCUUCUGUGUAUAUCCUAUAGCACCUUGCAGUCAUGGAGCCAGCAGAAAAUUAUUGCUGAAUUCAUAGCCUACAACCUUUAAACAUUGUGAAAUGUCUUCUCUAAGGGUAUGAGUAGUACACCUAGAAUCUUCUAACUCUUAAGCAGAGAAUGACAGGUUACCAUCUUGAGUUAUUUGAUUAGAUACUUAGAAAGGUUAUAAAGAUCUUUAGCAAACAACAAUGCCAGUUUCUGCAGAGUUCCUGGUGUGGAACCCUAUAGCCAGAGAAACAUAAGGCCCUGGAUGAAUCUCUGAAAAUCGUGUCUGCCAACUUGCUUCUCUAGGUAGGUGAGAACUUGUUCAAGACUUUUUCAUCCUUACAGGACAUUAGAAAACACACUGUGGCAAACACAUCCUAAGGUUACCCGCAAUGAAUAUAUCCCCUUUAUAACCCCCCUGUAUAAUCCUCUCCCUUGAUAAUGGCAGAUCCUGUGCAUCUAACCAAUAGAAUAUGGCAAAAGUAAUGGGAUGUCACUCCUAUGAUCAUGUUAUGUUAUAGAAGACUCUGUCUUAGCAGACAGGAGAGAGUGUCUCUUGUUGGCUUUGAAAAAGCAUGCAGCCAUGUGUGAGAGGGCCUGAGAAGAGAGCCACAUGGCAGGAAGCUGUGUGUGGCCUCUAAGACCUGAGUAGCCUCCAGCCAGUAGUCAGUAAGAAGCUGGGUCCCUAACAGCUGCCGGGAAAUAAAUUCUGCCAACAACCUGAAUGAGCUUGGAUUCUUCCCCAGUCAAGCCUCCAGAUGAGAAUGCAGCCCAUUUGACACUUUGAUUGAAGCCUUGUGACCCCUGAGCAGAGGACCCAACUAAAUUGUGUCUACAUUCUUUACCCACAGAAACUGGGAUGUCAUUAAUAUGUGUUGUUUUAAGCUGCUAAAUUUAUAGUGAUUUGUUACAAAGCAAUAGGUAACUAAUACAUGCACUUACAUGCAAACACUGAUUGUGUCAAAACAACCCUUGUGUGACACAUAGUUCUACAGAGACUGUAAGUCUUAUAUAUACCAUAUAUAGGUUGUAGAAUAAUAACCAAUGAAUUAUUUUUAUGAUUUCAAUUAGCAUUUUACUUUUAUACUAUUGUGGGCUCUGACUUAUCUAAGAAGUAAAGCAAGUGACUCAGCAGGAGAAGAUGGCGACCAUGUGGGAUGAGGCCGAGCAAGAUGGAAUUGGGGAGGAGGUGCUCAAGAUGUCCAUGGGGGAGAUCAUCUCACACACACAGAUACUGGACAGUGAGAUCAAGAUCAUGAAGAGUGAAGUGUUGAGAGUCACCCAUGAGCUCCAAGCCAUGAAGGACAAGAUCAAAGAGAACAGUGAGAAAAUCAAAGUGAACAAGACCCUGCUAUACCUUAUCUCCAACAUCAUCGAGCUCCUAGAUGUUGAUACUAAUGACCAAGAGGAAGAUGGUGCCCAUAUUGACCUGGACUCCCAGAGGAAGGGCAAGUGUGCUGUGAUCAAAACCUCUACACGACAGACAUACUUCCUUCCUGUGACUGGGUUGGUGAUGCUGAAAAGCUAAAGCCAGGAGACCUGGUGGGUGUGAACAAAGACUCCUAUCUGAUCCUGGAGACGCUGCUGACAGAGUAUGACUUGCGGGUAAAGGCCAUGGAGGUGGAUGAGAGGCCCACGGAGCAAUACAGUGACAUAGGGGGUUUGGACAAGCAGAUCCAAGACCUGGUGGAGGCCAUUGUCUUGCCAAUGAACCACAAGGAGAAGUUUGAGAACUUGGGGAUCCAACCUCCAAAAGGGGUGCUAAUGUAUGGGCCCCCAGGGACAGGGAAGACCCUCCUGGCCUGGGUCUGUGCCAUACAGACUAAGGCCACCUUCCUAAAGCUGGCUGGCCCCCAGCUGUGCAGAUGUUCAUUGGAGAUGGUGCCAAGCUAGUCUGGGAGGCCUUUGCCCUGGCCAAGGAGAAAGCACCCUCUAUCAUCUUCAUUGAUGAGUUGGAUGCCCUCGGCACCAAGCGCUUUGACAGUGAGAAGGCUGGGGACCGGGAGGUGCAGAGGACAAUGCUGAAGCUUCUGAACCAGCUGGAUGGCUUCCAGCCCAACACCCAAGUUAAGGUAAUUGCAGCCACAAACAGGGUGGACAUUCUGGACCCCGCCCUGUUCCGCUCAGGGCGCCUGGACCGCAAGAUCGAGUUCCCAAUGCCCAACGAGGAGGCCCGGGCCAGAAUCAUGCAGAUUCACUCCCGAAACAUGAACGUCAGUCCUGACAUAAACUAGGAGGAGCUGGCCCGCUGAACAGAUGAUUUCAACGGGGCUCAGUGCAAGGCUGUGUGUGUGGAGGUGGGCAUGAUCUCACUGUGCAGGAGUGCCACGGAGCUCACCCACGAGGACUACAUGGAAGGCAUCCUGGAGGUGCAGGCCAAGAAGAAAGCCAACCUGCAGUACUAGGCCGAGGGUGUGCCGGCCGGCCCCAGUCUCAUGGCUGAAGUGCGCAAUAAAAGGUGGUUUAGGGUCAAAAAAAAAAAAAAAAA